ACACACACACUCUUCGUCUUUUCUUUUUCCAUGGAUUUGCGUGGGAAUAGUCUCUUCCUUUCUAGCUAGAAGAAUAAAGGGCUAGAAAAGCUUUGAAACAAUACUUGGUGGGAUGAGGUCACUGGCUUCUUUUACCACUCGACAAGAAAAGAAGAGUAAGUCUUACAGUUGAACACAAAGUGAGUCAAGGAGGAGAAUUGAAUGAAUUAUUGCUGUGUUCACUGCUAUCUUUCGUCUCCAAGUAUGAUCCAUGAAAUUGCUUCCACUCUCUGUUUUUGGAUGCACUACAACAACAUGACUGAACUACAUUAUAUUUUAGAAACAUCAGAGUAUUGAUUGGUGUCGCACAACACACGAAUUUAGACUAGCGAGAUUGUUACCAUCUAAUUUGAUGUGCUAGUUCCUUUCAACUGCCACUACAUUAUUUUUCUGGGAUGUGAAUCCUGUAUUGGAAUUUGUUUGUUCUUGCGGCCGACAACGUUGAAAAUAACAAUAUCGCGGCCGACCACGUGGUUGGCUGUGAUAACAAAGGGCUCUUAAUCCAGCAACUCCAAACCCAAUCUUAUGUUCUUGGCGAUGGUGCUUCUGUUGCAGAUUCUCCCCUUGAACUGCCCACUUCACUACCUGCUAAGUUGCAGCCAAUAGGAAGCUUUUUUCAUUUUGCUUUCCCCCCCUUAAGCCUGAACAGCAAGACCUGCACAUCACCACUAAUCCAUCAGGAUUGCUAACAUGGAAAUACUCCUGCCAAGUUCUUUCCUUACCCUUCCUUUUUCACUCCCUCGAGAGCAAAACUUCCCUGGUCACCAAAAGGUUAUCUAACCCUGUCAGCUACUCCCUCCAUCAAUUGCUCUUGACUGGAGCACCUUGCUUCAGGGCCCAAAGCUAGUGAUAAAAGGAAAGCUACACAAUCCCACUCAUUGCACACUUUCUGGAGCCCAUUACCCGCAAGGAUAUCAGCUAGCUAGAUAGCCAACAGCUACCAAAUUCUCUACUCUGCUUGACCUCAUACGGUCGGGGCUCAUCAAGCAUAGAUUGCGAUUAGCCAGUUGAUACGACCAACAAUCUUAAUCCCCAUAUUGCAUAGCUAAGCAGCAAGACUACAUGAUUGGAGACUCAAGACUUGGUAAGACUGUGAUCCAUGAGACAGGCUGGAAAGUCACCUUUGUGGAGGGAAAAGACACUCCACCAACACACCAUCAGCUUGGCUGGAACCAAGUUUAGCUAGGAAUUCAACAACACAAUAAUAUCCCUCUCGCAGAACGAGACAAAAAAACUUGCUAAUUCCUAUCAAGAGCUUUCAAAUGUCAGAAAUCAGAUUCCAUCAUGGGCGAAAGAUAGCAGCAUGAAAUAUAAGAUUUACAGCAUCUAAAAUUGUUCUACUUGGCCCAUAAUCGACCGUAACCCAUCCGCUAUGCCAUGCCCAAAUAUCAACUAUACGCCAACAAACAUAACAUAUUAACAUGACAGUGUACUGAACCAAUACCCAGGCUAUUUUUAAAAAGACCAACAUAACACACUUAUACUUACCAUUCAAUUCUAUCGUUUUGGUCCAUCUACUGUUUUUUGGCUGAUACAAUCUGUCAAUAUCUAUUGUUUGACAAAUCCUAUCUCAUUGCUAAUAUUGCUAUUAUCAAACAAGACAGCUUACAGGUCCUGACUUAAGUUACAUGGCGUCCUUCCUCUGUCUUUUCUUACCACAAUCUCUCCGCUACUAUUGUUUGACAAAUCCUAUCUCAGCGUUAACACUGGUGUUAGCAGAUGCAUACAUGAUGGAGACAGCUUCCAUGUCUUGACAGAGGUUAUCAUGGCAUUUAUAUUUUCAAACUGAUAUUGCAACCUCAGUAUGAUUGUUAAGCGAAAUUCUACGACAUCUACACCUUUUUCCGAUAAUAACUAAUAAGUCCUAUAUAAUGCAUGAUAAAUAGUCCAGACUACAAAAAAAAAAUAAAAAAAAAAUCAAUGCAACGUUUAAGAAACCUAACAAAAACGACACUUACUGAAUGGCCCAACUCUUAAAUUAAGCAGCCUAUUCAUAUAUAAAGAGAAAUUCUUGAGGUCUUUGCAGAGAAAAGCUGAAAGUAAACAUCCAAAUAACAGCACUUGAUAGGCAGAUUUAAGCAUUGAACAAAGCGGUGGCUGAAUAUUAGCACUCCUUUAGCAUGCACCGAAUAAAUCAUCAAAUGUCUAAGAUAGCUAGCUAACUGAAAUAUCAUCAUCUAUCCUAGAACUCCCGCUAGAUUAUCCGGCAUCAAGUACCCUUUUCUCCUGGACCACCUAAACGUGACAUUCCAGACAAGAUGAAAAAACAUCUGCCUCUGAAUUUUUUACAUAUCAACCGCAUAAGCUCAUUGACAAAGAAAUUGAGCAAAUACCCUAACAAAAUCAGACAUGAUGACAGGCAUCCAUGAAAGCAAAAGGAAGCUUUUGUUAAGUAGAUAAAGCAAAAAAUCUUCUAAAUGAUGAUGAAACAUCAAUAGUUAUAUUCCAAAUGGUGCCAAGAUCUUUGCUUUCAUCUGAAGAGAGCCUAAACCAAGAGUCAGGGACACCUAACUGGCAUAGCAGUUCAAUCCUUCUAAAAAAUAAAAACCCGCCAAAUUGCAUCAAACACACAGAAAUCUCAACUCAAGGAACAAAUAAAAACCAUCAAGGUUCAACUUUUAACCACCAAUCUUGUUCCAAAAACACACAUUUGAACUCUAAAUCAAUCAAAGCUGUCAUUAAAAUGUACCAAAAGUAGAGCAUAAAAAUGCAAUAAGUCCUCCAACGUUCCAAUUAUUAUUAAUCGUCAUCAUUCGAGACGACUCAAAACAUAACAAAGAUGCCACAUUCCAUCGAAGAACUUUAAGAAGUAGAA